GAAGCCCUGGUACGAUGGAGUGGAAACAGUGAUGAGGAAAAUAUUCUUCUGCUUUGAUAAGAAGGAAACAGAAGGAAACCCGUCCAAUGUGGACAUGCAAGAUGAAAAGUCAAAGCGGAGAAGAUCAGAAUCCGACUCAGGUCAACCACAAAACCUCUCCAAAAGCCUGGGCCCUGGGUUUAAAUUUGGUGGUAAAAGUUUGUCUAGAUCUCAAAGCGUUGAGCAGCGAAUGGAACAAGUAAACGAAGAGAAGGACGAGGAUGUUGAAGAGGAGUCCUACAGUGAUGAGGAAGAGGAGUUAUACAAUGAGCUAGAUCCAACUGCUGUGGAGGAUUGGCUUCCCAAAGACAUGAAGGGGUAUGCUAAACUUUUUAAAGAUAAUGGCUAUGAAAACACAAAUUUUCUAAGCAUGUUGACUGACGUCGAUUUGAAGAGACUUGGAAUAAAGAAGGUAGCACAGAGGCGAAACUUGUAUCGUAAAAUACAAAACAUACCGGAAUUCACGAUACCCGUUGAUGUUCCGAAAGACCUUAGUUCUUGGUUACAUCAGAUCGGACUAGAGGAGUACAAACCAAACUUCCGGAGAAAUCAAAUUAAGACCGUGCGGGACAUGGAGGCCCUCAAGUCGUUUACUAUAAAGGAGAUCAAUGAGGACCUCAACAUAACAAAACCGGGUCAUGUUCGAAGACUUCAGGACGCCAUCAAACGACUCCGAAAUCCUACACACGACGAGAGAGUGAUCACCAAAUUUAAGGAAGAAAUCAGUCAGGCUUUCUUACAUGAUCUUAGGAGUGUUAACCAGGAGGAGAACAAAUUCUGGAAGGACCUCAUCCGGGCAUGUCUGGAACCAGCUUCUGACGCAUUCGGAUUUGAGGAGAUCUUAAAAGGUAAACUCCAGAACCUUAGGAACGAGUGGCUGAUGGUCUCUGGAAUUGUCAACUGUCUCUGGAUCGUCAUUAUCAUGACUCUUAGCAGCAGUAUAGAUCUGCAAAUUGCAGGGACCAACCCACUUAGUUUACUAUUUCUGAUCGUCUUUGGAUUCCUUUUCGUUCUACAGUUCUCUUGCAUGCUUGUCCACAGAUUCACAACUUUAUCGCAUUUUAUCGCGCGUGCGCCGUACAAAUUUGGACAAAAUUACCGUAGUUCUGUUUCUUUCUUGUCACGUGAUGUUGACUCAGAGGAAGAACUCUUAACAAGGGAGGUUAGAAAUUUACAGCCUCAAUUUCUCAAAAGAAUCAGGAACCAACGAAAACAAGGCAAACGAAAGAAAAGCAAUAGUAAAUCCCCAGAAACAGCACCGCUGAUUGCUAAUCACCAUGGUAACGACAUUUAUACGGGACCUCCAGUCAAGGAGGCUUAUGAAGAAAAUAUGUUAGCUGAAAGAGGAUAAUAUGUCAGAAAAGUUUAAUUUGUGCCAAUUUUAAUGAACUUUCGUUUUGGUGACAGUCACCAUUUAAGAACAAAUUUAUAUGUUUAAAUAUUAAUUAGUUACGUAAUUCUGUUUUAUUGUAUGCUUUUAUACAAACUCGGAACUCUAUCUCAAUUAUCAUUAGCGCAGUAUACAAAUAUUGAUAUUGAUAUGACUUUGUUGUAGAAGAGCACGUAGCAUUGUUAGCAAUAUAUCUGAAGUCAGGAUAAAGAAUCAUCAGACACUAUAAAGUAAAUUUAUUGAAAUGAAAAUAUGCUAAUUAAAUAAGAAAACAUGGUCAGGAAAUCAAGAAUGGUUCAUUUACUAGAGCGAUUAUUCUUAGUUUAAAGGCUUAAUAUGGGAUGUCAUGGUUACUACUAAUCAAAAUAGUGUAACUUUUGAUUGCUGACUUGUUUACGUUUUUGGCGAAAUUAAUAUAAUAUACUUUUAUGAACAAACUUUUUUGUGCAAUAAAGAUUUUGAU
rnacentral:misc_RNA from 1 species